UGACGGCCACAUCACGUUGAAACAUUGGUUCCCGUACGAGCACCCAAGUUAAGCAACGUCGAGCUUGGUCAGUACCUAGAUGGGUGACCGCUUGGGAAUAUC